UUAUAAAAUACAUUACUGGUCCAUAGAACUUAAUGUUCAUAUCAUGAAAUUAAGGAGAAUUCAGACUCUGUUCUUCAUUCUUGACCACUUUGUCUUAUACCAACAAAGCGUCUGGGGUACUAAAGUGACAAACUCUAGAGGAUGAGAACUUUGGAUCUGCUGUGAUUACACAAAGAAUGAGGGGCGGAGUCAGCACCACGAUUCACGUGCUUGAUUUUGACAAAAUAAAAGCAUAAUAAUGGCCUGAUGGAUGAGUGAAACUCAAAGGGCGUGUACAUUUCUACAUUUUCCUCUCUACAUUUUCAUCUACUGAAGAAAGAUGAGAAGCUUCAUAAAAGAAAGGUUCACAAUGAAAGACCAGAAUGUGCAGAAAAGAAAUGUGAAAGUCUCCAAAGUUGAACCACAGUAAACGGAUCUGUGAUGAACACAACACGAUGAAAUCAAGCACAAGAAAAAAAAAAAAUUGAUGCAAUCAAGAGGUUCAGUAAACACCAGAUGUAUGAGGCUGCUGCUAGCAUAUGGCGCACGUUUUUACAGUAAACAUUUUUAUAGGUAAAAGAUGUUCCGGGCCAAAGGUUGACUCUCCGACGCUAGCUGCAAGCUCAGAGCUAGCUCUUCAUAGUAAAACACAUGAGGUAUUCCAGCCCGCCUGACCUGCCAAUCUCAUCACCAAAAGGAGGUGCCAUCUUUGCGAAUAUGAUAAUUAGUCAUAAACAGACAUUUUUGUUAUUUCUAGUCAGUUCUCUGGAUGAAAACUCGUGCAGGCCAAAAAUAAUCCCAUUUCUUGUGGAAUGUGGGUGUUUACUUCUUAGACACCGUAUCUGACACCAGUGGGUUUUCAAGCCAGGGGAUAGUAUGUUGGGUCUAAUCUGUUAUGAGACUGUUUGAGCGUAGUUCAGCAUGCCUCACAGAUCACAGCCUUUAUUUUCCCCAUGCCAGAAUGCCUGUAGAUGGUGUUUAUUUUCAUGGAAAUUUGCUCACUAGCUAUUAAUAAGUAGGGGCUAUAAAAAGACAAUUGUUCUUCUGGAACAGGGAAACUGAGGAUUCUCAUUUUAGACACCCCUUGACAUUUCCUUUUCAUUGUAACCUUGGAUUAUUUAGCUAUUCCAUGCUGGAACAUUUUAUGCAAAGCGAGAAAAAUGCUACUUUUAUGAGCAGGCUAUAAAUUCCUAACU